rnacentral:rRNA from 1 species
UACAGAGGGGGCAAGCGUUGUUCGGAAUUACUGGGCGUAAAGGGCGCGUAGGCGGCCUGUUAAGUCGAACGUGAAAUCCCUGGGCUCAACCCAGGAACUGCGUCCGAUACUGGCAGGCUUGAAUUCGGGAGAGGGAUGCGGAAUUCCAGGUGUAGCGGUGAAAUGCGUAGAUAUCUGGAGGAACACCGGUGGCGAAGGCGGCAUCCUGGACCGAAAUUGACGCUGAGGCGCGAAAGCCAGGGGAGCAAACGGG